UUGAAUAAACCUGAUGUGGCUGUUAGCUGGCUUAGGCAUGUGCUCGUCCAUCAUCUUUAUAUAUCUCCACCUGUGCACCUUUUGUAGGCUUGGAUAGGAUUUUCCUGUCAUUUACAAGACUAUGUUUAUAUAUACACACACAAGUUUAAAGAAUGUCAUCAAUAGGAACUUGUUUCCUAUAGAAACUAUA
rnacentral:misc_RNA from 1 species